AGUGAUCUAGCCAUGAGCAGGGUGAAGUAAGGGUGAAACCUUAUGGAGGCCCGAACCAGGACACGUUGUAAAGUGUUUGGAUGACUUGUGGCUAGCGGUGAAAUUCCAAUCGAACUCGGAUAUAGCUGGUUCUCCCCGAAAUAGGUUUAGGCCUAGCCUUUGAUGAUGCUACCUGGAGGUAGAGCACUGAAUAUGGAAUGGCGGCGUCUAGCUGUACUGACUGUAAUCAACCUCCGAAUGCCAGGCAAGUUAAUCAAGGAGUCAGUGUGUGGGUGAUAACGUUCAUACGCGAGAGAAAAUCAAUUCAGACCGUCAGCUAAGGUCCCUAAAUGUAUGUUAAGUGGAAAAGGAUGUAAGAUUGCACUAACAGCUAGGAGGUUGGCUCAGAAGCAGCCAUCCUUUAAAGAGUGCGUAAUAGCUCACUAGUCGAGUGGUCUUGCGCCGAAAAUGUACCGGGGCUUAAACAUACUACCGAAGCUACGGGUUUACACUUAUGUGUAAGCGGUAGGGGAGCGUUCUAAGGGCGCUGAAGAUAGAUCGUGAGGACUAUUGGAGCGCUUAGAAGUGAGAAUGCCGGUGUGAGUAACGUAAGGCUGGUGAGAAUCCAGCCCACCGAUCGACCAAGGGUUCCGGGGUAAAGUUCGUCUCCCCCGGGUUAGUCAGGACCUAAGGCGAGGCAGAAAUGCGUAGUCGAUGGACAACAGGUUUAUAUUCCUGUACUGCCUAUAAGACUGAUGGAGUGACGGAGAAAGCUAGGAAGGGCCAGUUAUUGGAUUCUGGUCUAAAUGCGUAGGUCAUUGCGUAGGAAAAUCCGCGACAAUGUUAAGACUGAAACAUGAUGGCGUCUGUUCCCUCGGGAACAUAAGUCUUCUGAAGCUAUGCUUCCAAGAAAAACUUCUAAAGAUAUCUUAUAGGUACCUGUACCAAGAACCAACACAGGUGGUCAAGGAGAGAAUCCUAAGGUGAGCGAGAGAACUAUGGUCAAGGAACUCGGCAAAAUGAC
rnacentral:ncRNA from 1 species